rnacentral:rRNA from 1 species
GACGAACGCUGGCGGCGUGCUUAACACAUGCAAGUCGAACGGAAAGGCCCUGCUUUUGUGGGGUGCUCGAGUGGCGAACGGGUGAGUAACACGUGAGUAACCUGCCCUUGACUUUGGGAUAACUUCAGGAAACUGGGGCUAAUACCGGAUAGGAGCUCCUGCUGCAUGGUGGGGGUUGGAAAGUUUCGGCGGUUGGGGAUGGACUCGCGGCUUAUCAGCUUGUUGGUGGGGUAGUGGCUUACCAAGGCUUUGACGGGUAGCCGGCCUGAGAGGGUGACCGGCCACAUUGGGACUGAGAUACGGUCCAGACUCCUACGGGAGGCAGCAGUGGGGAAUAUUGCACAAUGGGCGGAAGCCUGGUGCAGCAACGCCGCGUGCGGGAUGACGGCCUUCGGGUUGUAAACCGCUUUCGCCUGUGACGAAGCGUGAGUGACGGUAAUGGGUAAAGAAGCACCGGCUAACUACGUG